CUCCGCAAUUUGCAUACUUUUGCGACAAUUUAUUAGCCCCCACAAAAUUAUACAAUUUAUAGGGUUCUAAAACUUUCGCAACCCUAAAAUAAUAGCGGGUAAUUUAUUUUGCACUCCCUCCUUUUUUUCCCAAUCUUUUCAGAAACUUCCGUCUUUCCCAAUUUUUACUCUCUUCUUUCUCUGAUUUUCACUCUUAAUUAAAAAGAAACUUCAGCCUUAUAUGCUCUCUUCUUUCUGCUUGCCUUCUUCUUCCAUGAAUCUCGUUUGGGAUUCAUGAAGUAAUUUCUUUUUACCUUAAUGUGAUUUUAGUGUUAAUAUUUGUAAUUGGGGUUUUAAGAAUAUAAUUUGCCCAAACAACUAAAAGGCACUGCUCAUAUAGAUCUGUGGAUUUUGUUCUGGUCUUGGAAUAUUUUUGGACUACAAGAGGAAAGAAGCACUGUGGGUGGCAAAAAAGUUGCAAAGAAAUUGCAUAUUGAGAGGUUCAUCAGCUGCACUUGAAAGAUAACACUUUCCUAUGGAUAAAUCUUGGAUUACAAAGCCAAGGAACACCACUGAGUAUUUGAUUGGGUUAAAUCAGUUUUUAGAUUUUGCAUUUGCUAAUGCUGUUGUGGGAGAUAGAAUAAAAUGUCCUUGUCCUAAAUGUGGAUUCGCAAAGUGGCAGACUAGAGAUGUAGCAUUUGAUCAUUUGGUAUGCAAACCAUUCCAUCAAAAUUAUGUCACUUGGAGUAUUCAUGGUGAAAGAAAUAUACUCCCUAAUUCUAUAAAUAUUGAGGUUAUAUAAGAUACAUUACCUUCUGAAAAUCCUGUAGAAUUAUUGAUCAAUGAAGCAUUUGGGGGCCUAAGGCACGAUGGGGUUGAUGUAGGUCCGUCACAAGUAGCAGGUGGUGAAGAAAGGUUAAAUAAUGAGCCUGCUUCAAAUGACAAAGACUUUUUCGAGUUGCUUAGAGAUGGAAGUCAAGAAUUGUAUGAAGAGUCCAAGUACUCAAAAUUAGAAUUUUUAUUAAAAUUGUAUCAUAUAAAGUGUUUGUCCGAGAUAAGUGACAAGGGAAUGUCCAUGGCACUAGAUUUGUUGAGGGACGCAUUUACAUUUGCACGAAUCCCUAAUUCUUCUUAUAAGGCUAAAAAAACUAUCAGUAAGCUUUGUCUUGAUUAUAUCAAGAUAGAUGCUUGUCCAAAUAAUUGUAUGUUAUUUUGGGGAAAUUAUGCUAAUGAGAAAACAUGUAAGUAUUGUCAUA